rnacentral:rRNA from 1 species
AACGAACGCUGGCGGCAGGCUUAACACAUGCAAGUCGAACGCGUGUAGCAAUACACGAGUGGCGCACGGGUGCGUAACGCGUGGGAACCUUCCUCGUAGUUCGGAAUAACCCAGGGAAACUUGGGCUAAUACCGGAUACCUCCUUCGGGAGAAAGAUUUAUCGCUAUGAGAUGGGCCCGCGUCAGAUUAGGUAGUUGGUAGGGUAACGGCCUACCAAGCCGACGAUCUGUAGCUGGUCUGAGAGGAUGAUCAGCCACACUGGGACUGAGACACGGCCCAGACUCCUACGGGAGGCAGCAGUGGGGAAUAUUGGACAAUGGGGGAAACCCUGAUCCAGCAAUGCCGCGUGAGUGAUGAAGGCCUUCGGGUUGUAAAGCUCUUUUACCUGUGAAGAUAAUGACUGUAGCAGGGGAAUAAGCUCCGGCUAACUUCGUGCCAGCCGCCGCAGUAA